rnacentral:rRNA from 1 species
UACGGGGGGGGGCAAGCGUUGUUCGGAAUUACUGGGCGUAAAGGGCUCGUAGGCGGCCAACUAAGUCAGACGUGAAAUCCCUCGGCUUAACCGGGGAACUGCGUCUGAUACUGGAUGGCUUGAGAUUGGGAGAGGGAUGCGGAAUUCCAGGUGUAGCGGUGAAAUGCGUAGAUAUCUGGAGGAACACCGGUGGCGAAGACGGCAUCCUGGACCAACACUGACGCUGAGGAGCGAAAGCCAGGGGAGCAAAGCGGGG